rnacentral:rRNA from 1 species
AUUGAACGCUGGCGGCAUGCUUUACACAUGCAAGUCGAACGGUAACAGGCCGCAAGGUGCUGACGAGUGGCGAACGGGUGAGUAAUGCAUCGGAACGUGCCCAGUCGUGGGGGAUAACUACUCGAAAGAGUAGCUAAUACCGCAUACGAUCUAUGGAUGAGAGCGGGGGACCGUAAGGCCUCGCGCGAUUGGAGCGGGCGAUGUCCGAUUAGGUAGUUGGUGGGGUAAAGGCUCACCAAGCCCACGAUCUGUAGCUGGUCUGAGAGGACGACCGGCCACACUGGAACUGAGACACGGCCCAGACUCCUACGGGAGGCAGCAGUGGGGAAUUUUGGACAAUGGGCGCAAGCCUGAUCCAGCAAUGCCGCGUGCAGGAAGAAGGCCUUCGGGUUGUAAACUGCUUUUGUACGGAACGAAACGGCUCUGGUUAAUACCCGGGGCUAAUGACGGUACCGUAAGAAUAAGCACCGGCUAACUACGUG